GGUGGACUAAUCUAGCCCGCGUCUUUCGGGCCGUGAGUGCUGGGUUCGGUUUACCAUCCUUCUAGAGUGUCAUGUCUACUCUUCAUUGAGCCGGACAUGCCGUUCUAGAUCAUUUACUUUGAAAAAAUUAGAGUGUUUAAAGCAGGCUGACGCUAUGAAUACAUUAGCAUGGAAUAAUAAUAUAGGACUUCGGUUCUAUUUUGUUGGUUCUUAGGGCUGAAGUA
rnacentral:rRNA from 1 species